UACGAAGGGGGCUAGCGUUGUUCGGAUUUACUGGGCGUAAAGCGCGCGUAGGCGGAUCGUUAAGUCGGGGGUGAAAUCCUGGAGCUCAACUCCAGAACUGCCUUCGAUACUGGCGAUCUCGAGUCCGGAAGAGGUGAGUGGAACUCCUAGUGUAGAGGUGGAAUUCGUAGAUAUUCGCAAGAACACCAGUGGCGAAGGCGGCUCUCUGGGACGGUACUGACGCUGAGACGCGAAAGCGUGGGGAGCGAACAGG
rnacentral:rRNA from 1 species